rnacentral:lncRNA from 1 species
UCCUACUGCUGUCCUUCUUUUGGAGUAUCAUCAAUUUAGCAUCCUCAUCGACAUCACCAUCAUUUUGCUCAGAUGGCUGAUCAUCACCCUGUUCUAGACUAGCAUCUUCAAUGCGACUAUCAUCUCCCCCAUGAUUUUUAUGCACAAUUGAAGUAGGAAUUGGAUCCAAAUUAGCAACUCGAGGAGUAGUGAUUUGUUUCUUUAGCCUCACAAUAUCUUCU